AACGAACGCUGGCGGCAUGCCUCAUACAUGCAAGUCGAACGAGAAAGUACCUUCGGGUACGAGUAGAGUGGCAAACGGGUGCGUAACACGUGGGAACCUACCCUUUGGUUCGGAAUAGCCCUGGGAAACUGGGAUUAAUACCGAAUAAGAACUACGGUUGAAAGAUUUAUCGCCGAAGGAUGGGCCCGCGCUAGAUUAGCUUGUUGGUAAGGUAAUGGCUUACCAAGGCUACGAUCUAUAGCUGGUUUGAGAGGAUGAUCAGCCACACUGGGACUUAGAUACGGCCCAG
rnacentral:rRNA from 1 species